UACGUAUGGUGCAAGCGUUAUCCGGAUUUACUGGGUGUAAAGGGAGCGCAGGCGGCGCGUUAAGCCUGGUGUGAAAGCCCGCGGCCCAACCGCGGGACUGCAUUGGGAACUGGCGCGCUGGAGUGCCGGAGGGGUAGGCGGAAUUCCUAGUGUAGCGGUGAAAUGCGUAGAUAUUAGGAGGAACACCAGUGGCGAAGGCGGCCUACUGGACGGUGACUGACGCUGAGGCUCGAAAGCGUGGGGAGCGAACAGG
rnacentral:rRNA from 1 species